ensembl:snoRNA
GGGCUUACAAUGAGCUGUGUUUACUGAGCAUGAUGAAGCGAAGUUCAGUAAAAAAAAAAAAAUCC